CUCUCUCCAAACCCUAUUCAUUUCAUUCGGCCGCUCUUGCAUUCUUCAAACCCUAAUCUUCUUCAUCUUCAACCCCCCAAAAGCACAAACCUGGUGAAAACCAAACCCCGCAAGACCAAAAUUCAAACACUCAUCUUCCUUCGUUCACCUUCUCACUCUCUCUCGCAAACAGGAAAGAGGAGUCAAACCGUAUACACAAAUUUCAGAAAACCAAACCAGAUGAAGAUGGAGUGAGGAAGAUGAAGAUGACAUUACUUUGCAGAUCUGAGUCUUUUACAUUCAAAUCUUAUGGGUUUGCGUUCAGAUCUGGAUCUGGAUCUGAAUCGAUUUAAUUUAGGGUUUAUCUGGAUCUGGAUCUGAGUCUUUUUAGGGCUUUGCUGAAUCUUCUAUUAUGUGUUUUAGUAUUUGUUUAUUUACGGAACAUAAAUUAUUGCAGGCUUUUUAUUGAUAUUGUUGUUGAUUAUUUCAGUUGGUGAAGACAGAGAGUGUGGCUCUUCUUUUUUGUAUGGAGCCUUGCGAUAAUCUGGAUUUCUUGAAAGACAUGGAAUGGGAUCUGGGGUAUUGGUGUCCACUUAUUGAUAAUAUAUGUUUCUUGCAGUAGCUUUGUAAGCUUUAAGAUAUUAGGUAUAUCUUACAAUCAGAUCACCGGUGAAUCCCAUACAAUAUUGGGUCUCUCCAAGAUCAUUUGCUGAAUGAGGUGGUGACCCUUAUUUCUAAUCUAACUGAAGAGAAAAAUUAUGCUUGUAGAGUUGGAAGGAUAUAUUCGUGUCCUCGAUAUUAAGAGCAUGCAAUACCGUAUUCAACAUGAAAGUAUUACUCUAAACGAGGAGAAACAAAUCAUCAGAGAAAUAAAACAACUUCAAGGGACGAGGGAUAAGGUUAUUGCAAACGCUGCUAUGAGGGCUGAAGUUCAAAAAUUUGUUGGUGAAAAAGAUGCCAUUCAAGACAAGGUCAAAUCUAUUAGCGUUGAUCUUGACGAGGUCCGCAAGGAUCAUCAAGCUAUCAAGGCCAAAUUUAAGACACUCGAGACUGAAAAGGAGGCCAUAAACAAUGUGAUUGCUUCUUUAGAGGAGGAAUUGUGUGUAGUGAUCGAGAAAAAGGAUAAGGUCUAUCACAAAAUUCGUGAGCUGAGGAAUAAACGUGAAGAAGAGAAUACUUGCUUUUACCAAAGCCGCUCCCUCUUGAACGAUGCAAGAAGGCUAGCUGCAAGUAAGGACGUUAAUGCCCUUAUAGAGCUUUCAACCUCAGAGCUAUCUUUUAUUACCCAAUCAAGAAGUAGCUUAAAGAGGGAACUGGCCCUGAUACAGACAUUGGCCUUAUGAUCAUAUAAUGGGAAAGGAAUUAAUCCAAGUAGGUAUUGAGGCUGGUGCUAGAUUAUUUAUUAUGGAAGAAAUAUUGAGGUAAAGAUGAAGGUGAGUAGAUCGCUUAAGUUGACGAGGGGCGCUUCAAUUUGCACAAGGAAACUGGCAAGGGACAUGCUGGUCUUUUGGAAGAGAAUCGAUAAAGAAAUGGCUGAAAUAAGGAAAAAGGAAUAAAAAGAAGCUGCGGAAGCUUUGAAACGUGAACAGGAGCUUCGGCGCAGUGAGCGAGCGAGCGCAGCUGCAGCGGCGUGGCGAGCGCAGCCGCGACAAGCGUAGCAGCAUGGUUAACAAAAAUGGCAAUAUUCGUGUAUGGGACUUGACUGCAAGAAUGUAAGUUCAAUAUUCGUGUAUGGGACUUGACUGCACGGUUAACGAAAGGCUAUGUUAAAGCUUGGAAUGAAGCCCAUUCUUGGAAUGAAGCCCAUUCUUGGAGUCGGUCGUGUUAAAGCUUGGAAUGAAGCCCAUUCUUGAGGAGAAUCCUUCUGGUGGUAUAUUGCUACCAUCAACUGCAGAGUCAAAACCUCAAAGGUGGAUCUAAGUGUCAAGCUAAUGCUUCCUCUAUAUCAAGCUCUAAUGCUCUAAGGCAGGACAGUUCGGCAGCAACCUCCACGUCGAUGUCUCACCAUCUAUUUUUUGUCUCGAUUGUUCUUCAUUCGCGACGGUUUCGCUCAGAAUGGCUUCCAGUCAACAGGUCAAUUAAAAAAGGCUACAUUUGUUCGGGUCGGGUCGAAAUGGGUCGAUUAUUGAAUGUUGUUUUGGUUCAGCUAAAAAAUGAAUCGUUUCAACUCAUUUAAAUGUCACAUUUCCAAAGCGAUCCGUUUUUUACCUGAACUAAGCUAUCCGUUUUUGAAACUGGAUGUACUGUUGUUGGUGGAGGAAAUAUGGUUGGAAGUUUUUUCUUUAUAUAGUUCUACCCCAUAUGACUAGCUAAAAGCUAUCAUCAUUGGUAAGGUGUUUAAUUGAAUUUGUUUAAAAUUAGAUAUGUACUUUUAGUUGUUUGCCUAAAUAUUUGGAUGAUGAAGUACACUUGGGUUGAAGCGACCUGGUUUUUUAGAGAAAGGGGUGACUCCAGUUCAGAUGCGAGUUCAGAGCAUGGUGAGAUCACCGCUGAAGAUAUUUUGAUAUUCUUUUACCAGUUGGAUUUGGGGGAUUUGGGGCAACUGGUUAAAUGUGUCAUGUGGGUUACGGGUCAAACGCAACAUAGGUUUCUAGCAUUUUAUGAGUUACCUUUUUUAUUGUAAUAAACUAGCAGAAUCCUAUGUAUUGAUUCUUAUGUUAAAUAAAGAAACUCAUCUUUAGAUUAA